rnacentral:rRNA from 1 species
AGUGAACGCUGGCGGUAGGCCUAACACAUGCAAGUCGAACGGCAGCACAGUAAGAGCUUGCUCUUACGGGUGGCGAGUGGCGGACAGGUGAGGAAUGCAUCGGAAUCUACUUUUUCGUGGGGGAUAACGUAGGGAAACUUACGCUAAUACCGCAUACGACCUACGGGUGAAAGCAGGGGAUCUUCGGACCUUGCGCGAUUGAAUGAGCCGAUGUCGGAUUAGCUAGUUGGCGGGGUAAAGGCCCACCAAGGCGACGAUCCGUAGCUGGUCUGAGAGGAUGAUCAGCCACACUGGAACUGAGACACGGUCCAGACUCCUACGGGAGGCAGCAGUGGGGAAUAUUGGACAAUGGGCGCAAGCCUGAUCCAGCCAUACCGCGUGGGUGAAGAAGGCCUUCGGGUUGUAAAGCCCUUUUGUUGGGAAAGAAAAGCAGCAGGUUAAUACCCCGCUGUUCUGACGGUACCCAAAGAAUAAGCACCGGCUAACUUCGUG